UACGGAGGAUCCAAGCGUUGUCCGGAUUUACUGGGGUUUAAAGGGUAGCGUAGGUGGACUUUUAAGUUCAGUGGUGAAAGCCUCGUAGCUUAACUAUAGAAUUGCCAUUGAAACUGAAAGUCUUGAGUACAGUUGGAGGUGAGCGGAAUGUAUCAUGUAGCGGUGAAAUGCUUAGAUAUGAUACAGAACACCGAUUGCGAAGCAGCUCACUAAACUGCAACUGACACU
rnacentral:rRNA from 1 species